CCUACGGGAGGCAGCAGUGGGGAAUAUUGCGCAAUGGGCGAAAGCCUGACGCAGCGACGCCGCGUGAGGGAUGAAGGUCUUCGGAUCGUAAACCUCUGUUAGCAGGGAAGAACGGUCACUGUGCUAAUCAGCAGUGAAUUGACGGUACCUGCAACGGAAGCCCCGGCUAACUCCGUGCCAGCAGCCGCGGUACUACGGAGGGGGCGAGCGUUAAUCGGAUUUACUGGGCGUAAAGGGCUCGUAGGCGGGAUGUCAAGUCAAGGGUGAAAUCCCCGGGCUCAACGUGGGAACUGCCUUUGAAACUGGCAAACUGGAGUGUGUGAGAGGAUAGUGGAAUUCCAGGUGUAGGAGUGAAAUGCGUAGAUAUCUGGAAGAACACCAGUGGCGAAGGCGACUAUCUGGCAGAUAACUGACGCUGAGGAGCGAAAGCGUGGGUAGCAAACAGGAUUAGAUACCCUAGUAGUC
rnacentral:rRNA from 1 species